rnacentral:tRNA from 1 species
CGCGAACGGGCCAGAUGGGAAGGCUGGGGUGUCACAUACCUCGAUUGACUGUGUUCGAUUCACAGGUUCGCGACCA